CAGGGAGACAACAAAAUGUUUAAUAUUAUUAUUUUGUCACCUUAGGUCGAUCGGUAUCUCACGUUUUUAAUUUAUUAAAAAUUUCAUUUCCUAAGUUUUUCUAGGUCACACCCAUUAUUUUUCCUGGGCCAUUAGCUCAGGUGGUUAGAGCGCACCCCUGAUAAGGGUGAGGUCCCUGGUUCAAGUCCAGGAUGGCCCAUAUCUCUAUGUUGGGGGUAUAGCUCAGUUGGUAGAGCGCCUGCUUUGCAAGCAGGAUGUCAGCGGUUCGAGUCCGCUUACCUCCACUGAUUACCACCUCUUCCAUAACCGGUAGAAAGGAAAUGUUUUGAGUUGUGAUCCUAAUUCUGAACGAAUCUAGCUUCCUAAUGAAAUCAUUAAGACGCUGGACUCAUUGAAUUAAUUUCAUUGUUUUCAGAGAACCUUGACAACUGCAUAGAUUAUUUUUAAAGACAAUAAGCAUCUUUAAUGAUGCAGAUUUAUUAUUUGUGCAAUUGCAUUAAUAACAAUUCUAUUAAGCUGAUGCUUCAAUUUUGAAGUUAUU
rnacentral:tRNA from 1 species